CCUAAAGUUAAGAGGGACACCUCUAAACCACAGAACAUCUGACCAAAUAUGAUCCGUACACAAAGUACGAUCAACGAACCAAGUUACCCUAGGGAUAACAGCGCAAUCCUCUCCCAGAGUCCAUAUCGACGAGAGGGUUUACGACCUCGAUGUUGGAUCAGGACAUCCUAAUGGUGCAGCCGCUAUUAAGGGUUCGUUUGUUCAACGAUUAAAGU
rnacentral:rRNA from 1 species